rnacentral:rRNA from 1 species
UGGGGAAUAUUGGACAAUGGGCGAAAGCCUGAUCCAGCCAUUCCGCGUGUGUGAAGAAGGUCUUCGGAUUGUAAAGCACUUUAAGUUGGGAGGAAGGGCAGUAAGCGAAUACCUUGCUGUUUUGACGUUACCGACAGAAUAAGCACCGGCUAACUCUGUGCCAGCAGCCGCGGUAAUACAGAGGGUGCAAGCGUUAAUCGGAUUUACUGGGCGUAAAGCGCGCGUAGGCGGCUAAUUAAGUCAAAUGUGAAAUCCCCGGGCUUAACUUGGGAAUUGCAUUCGGUACUGGUUAGCUAGAGUGUGGGAGAGGAUGGUAGAAUUCCAGGUGUAGCGGUGAAAUGCGUAGAGAUCUGGAGGAAUACCGAUGGCGAAGGCAGCCAUCUGGCCUAACACUGACGAUGAGGUGCGAAAGCAUGGGGAGCAAACAGG